GUAGGUGAACCUGCGGAGGGAUCAUUACCGAGUGAGGGUCUCCGGACCCGACCUCCAACCCCAUGUUAACCGACCCUGUUGCCUCGGGGGCGACCCGGCCUUCGGGCCAGGGCCCCCGAUGGACCUCAUAACACUGCAUCUUUGCGUCCGAGUCAAUAUUUGAAUAAAUCAAAACUUUCAACAACGGAUCUCUUGGUUCUGGCAUCGAUGAAGAACGCAGCAUCUGACUGACUUCAGGUUGCGGAAUCUC
rnacentral:misc_RNA from 1 species